AACGAACGCUGGCGGCAGGCUUAACACAUGCAAGUCGAGCGAGACCUUCGGGUCUAGCGGCGGACGGGUGAGUAACGCGUGGGAACGUGCCCUUCUCUACGGAAUAGCCCCGGGAAACUGGGAGUAAUACCGUAUACGCCCUUUGGGGGAAAGAUUUAUCGGAGAAGGAUCGGCCCGCGUUGGAUUAGGUAGUUGGUGGGGUAAUGGCCCACCAAGCCGAAGAUCCAUAGCUGGUUUGAGAGGAUGAUCAGCCACACUGGGACUGAGACAAGGCCCAGACUCCUGAGGGAGGCAGCAGUGGGGAAUCUUAGACAAUGGGGGCAACCCUGAUCUAGCCAUGCCGCGUGAGUGAUGAAGGCCUUAGGGUUGUAAAGCUCUUUCAGCUGGGAAGAUAAUGACGGUACCAGCAGAAGAAGCCCCGGCUAACUCCGU
rnacentral:rRNA from 1 species